rnacentral:lncRNA from 1 species
CUACACGAGUGCUCACUGGCAACGCUGGAUCCUUAACCUGCCUACCGAGCAAGGCAAGAGAUGGAACCCGCAUCCUCAUGGAUGCUAGUCAGGUUCCUAACCUGCUGUGCUACAAUGGGAACUCUGAGAAGUAUUCAAUUUUUAGACACAGGGGCUGUGUCUCAGAGUACAGAGUGGUUGAAUGGACGGCUGGAAUUCAGACAUCAGUUACUGGAAAGAAUGGAAGUUAAAAAUAAAGCGGCUGGGAUCCAUAGAAGUUGAUGCUGCAGGUCUGCAUGAUGAAAAGUGUCGUAGAGAGUUCUUGAGUCUGAAGGCCAAUGAUAUCAGAUGGAAAGUGGGAUCUACAACAUGAAAGAACGGCGUUGGAAAUGAUAAAUAUAUGGGCCCACUCACCAGACCACCCACACUGGGUGGACUUACCCUCUUUCCUGGGAGAAGAAUGAGGUUCUUGGAAUCGUCUCUAGUUGGGGGAAGGCAGUGAUUGUGUCAAACAGCCGUAUGGAGAGGUCUGCAUAGGGAAGAACUGAAGUCUACCAAAACCCACAGGAAUAAUCUUGGAUGUGGACACUCUAUCCCCAGAGAAGAAACAUGAUGUACCAGCAAAACUUUAGUCUGCAAAGGAUCAUGAGCCAAUAAGCUGCAAUUGUUGCUUUGAAAAGGCAGAAGCAAAAGAAGAGUUGAUGGAGAUACCAGGCAUGAAAGGGUCGUAAGUUCUGGGCUUUCCAAUAAUAAGCUAUUCUCCUCCAGAUGAUUUUAAUAAUCUCCAGCACAUGUGUUCUAACCCCUUGAUGCUGUACAAUAUGUGUAACUAAAUAAAAGAUCUCUCCAGAUUCAGAGAUUUACUGUUUGUGAUGGGAAAAGGCCAACCAGAUGACAUCAUUUAUAUUCCAAAUAUGAGCUGCUGCCAAGGCUGGUGAUGUUAAGCUGGAGAAAUUGAUCCUUAGUGUUAUUCUAUGAAAGAAAAGAGAAAAAGGUCUUGGCCUAGAUAGUGUAAUUUUUAAAAAUUUAUGUGAAUUUGAAGAUGAGUUUAAUAAACUUCUAUUUUAUCUAGAAUUGCUUAUGUGCAAUGCAUGGGCUGUUUAGGUACACAAUUACUUCCAUAUAUAAAGUUAGCAGGUUAGAGGAUAAGAAUUACCAUUUUGCCGUUGUUGUUGUUGAAUGGAUAAUCGGUGGUGGUGGGGAUUGACCUGAGGCCUGUCUGCCCCAGCAGAACACACAAGGCAUCAGGGCUGUGCUCACUUGUUCAAAAGCAAAGGUGCCCACUUUGUAAGUGGAGUGUGACAGUCUCUGCUCCCAUCCUUCAACCUCUUCCUUUCUAACAGAACCAUGUUUUCUUUUCAUAUAUCCACAUCCUCCACUACUACGGAAUGCAGAGAAGUUGACACCAUUCCCAGUUUCAAAGGUAGAUCUUGAUUAAUCUAGACCAACAAACACAUGGCAUUCCCCCCAUGACCAGGGAUUCAGGAGUGACUUGUGAGUGUAAUCAGACAAAGGAAAGGACUUAGAUUCCAUACUUGAGGAAAAGGAUUUUCCUUUUCUCUCCUGAGAGAUUAUAACAAAUAGGAAUAGAUCCCUACUUGCUGUUGGCAUCUGUUUUAUAAUUUCAAGAGGGAGUCAAGUUUAGAAUAAGGCCGCCACUGGGGAUGGCUGAUUGAAAAACAAAGUCCUCAACUAUAUCUUUGAGCCUCUGAUUGUGCUGUGCUUUUGCUAUCCUUAAACUUUUAUGUAAAUAUUGCUUUCCCUUAUUAUUUAAGCCAGCUUGCAUUUCUGUUGCUUAUACCUGAAAUCGUCCUGGUUGGAAGAGGUGACAAAAUUUGAUUUCUGAGAUCCCAUCAGCACUUUUUUUUUUGGGGGGGGGCAUACUCUCAUGGCAUUUUUGAAGACAGAGAGUUUUGAGUCUGUGUUGAAUGGCUUUGUGUGCUGUCUCCACACACAGAGUGACUUUCUAAAAUAAGGAGUACUCAUAAUACUCCCUGGCAUCUUGAUCUUUACUCCUUCCAGCCUCGUCUCAGCCAUACUCAUCAGCCCCGCUACCACCUUUCAGUUACUCGGACGUGUUCUCCUUUCUCUCACCUCCAGCCUUGCUCAUGCUCUUCCACUGACUCUAGCAAACUCCUUGACAGCCUCCUUCCCCAUACUUCCCCUCUAUCAAGUCUUGACCUGGGCAUCAUUUCCCCCGGGAAGCCUUCCCUUUGUUGGUCUUCCUAAUACUACCCUAACGUCCUAU